rnacentral:rRNA from 1 species
AUUGAACGCUGGCGGCAGGCCUAACACAUGCAAGUCGAACGAGUGGCAGACGGGUGAGUAAUGUCGGGGAAACUGCCUGAUGGAGGGGGUUAACUACGGGAAACGGUAGUUAAUACCGCAUACCAUCGGAUGAGCGCAGAUGGGAUGAGCGAUUAGGUGGGGUAACGGCUCACCUAGGCAACGAUCCCUAGUUGUUCUGAGCGGGUGACCGGCCACACUGGAACUGAGACACGGUCCAGACUCCUACGGGAGGCAGCAGUGGGGAAUAUUCCACAAUGGGCGAAAGCCUGACGCAGCAAUGCCGCGUGUAUGAAGAAGGUCUUCGGGUCGUAAAGUUCUUUCAGCGGGGAGGCGUUACCCGCUCAAGAAGCACCGGCUAACUCCGUGCCAGCAGCCGCGGUAAUUC